UAAAAAUGCACUAUUCAAUGGGGAUUAUAUCGUCUCUGAAGCAAGAGAAAGGGCUUUGAAUUUGCAUAUCACUGAUGACUUGCUUAAGCUCAGAUGUUUCCUCUUUAAGCUGAGCAUUCUCUUGAAGAACUUUCUCGUGAGAUUCAUGCUUAAGCUCAGAUGUUUCCUCUUUAAGCUGAGCAUUCUCUUGAAGAACUUUCUCGUGCGAUUCAGAGAGAUUGUUAAGCUUAUCAAGCAACUGAUGAUUCUCGAUCCUCAACCACAUCACC
rnacentral:lncRNA from 1 species